UCCCUGGUGGCUCAGCUGGUAAAGAAUCUGCCUGCAAUGCAGGAGACCCAGGUUCGAUCCCUGGGUUGGAAA
rnacentral:tRNA from 1 species